rnacentral:pre_miRNA from 1 species
UCUUAAGCGUGAGCAAAGAAAGUAAUUUCUUUAGAUGGAAUAUGUUCUUGGUGAAGAUGCUAUGAA